UCCAACCAAGCCAGCGAAAAUGAUGAAAGCCUUGAUCUUGUUGGCUGCAGUAACCACCGCCUCUGCCUUUCCGUCCUACUACUUAAAAGAUGCAUCAUGUCAGGGAGCCGAGAAUGUGACUUUGUGUGAGGCUGAUACACAGACGAAGAGGUUAGAAGAAACAUAUCCAAGAGCUGCCUCGACCAAAACGGCUUUAGCGAUCUGGAUGACGUGGAUCCUGAGAUCCUCUUCAGUCCCACAGAAUCCG
rnacentral:lncRNA from 1 species